rnacentral:rRNA from 1 species
UACGUAGGUGGCAAGCGUUGUCCGGAUUUACUGGGCGUAAAGAGCGCGCAGGCGGUCGUUCAAGUCGCGUGUGAAAGCCCCCGGCUCAACUGGGGAGGGUCACGCGAUACUGAUCGACUCGAAGGCAGGAGAGGGAAGUGGAAUUCCAGGUGUAGCGGUGAAAUGCGUAGAUAUCUGGAGGAACACCGGUGGCGAAGGCGGCAUCCUGGACCGGUAUUGACACUGAGGCGCGAAAGCCAGGGGAGCAAACGGG